rnacentral:rRNA from 1 species
AUUGAACGCUGGCGGAAUGCUUUACACAUGCAAGUCGAACGGCAGCACGGACUUCGGUCUGGUGGCGAGUGGCGAACGGGUGAGUAAUAUAUCGGAACGUAUCCAAUAAUGGGGGAUAACUAAUCGAAAGGUUGGCUAAUACCGCAUACGUCCUACGGGAGAAAGCUAGGGACCUUCGGGCCUGGCGUUAAUGGAGCGGCCGAUAUCGGAUUAGCUAGUUGGUGAGGUAAAGGCUCACCAAGGCGACGAUCCGUAGCUGGUCUGAGAGGACGACCAGCCACACUGGAACUGAGACACGGUCCAGACUCCUACGGGAGGCAGCAGUGGGGAAUUUUGGACAAUGGGCGAAAGCCUGAUCCAGCCAUUCCGCGUGAGUGAAGAAGGCCUUCGGGUUGUAAAGCUCUUUCGCAAGAGAAGAAAACUUACCCUCUAAUAUAGGGUGAGGUCGACGGUAUCUUGAUAAGAAGCACCGGCUAACUACGUGCCAGCCGCCGCAGUAA